rnacentral:lncRNA from 1 species
GGAAAGCAGACGGACGGGGAGGCGGGGGGAGCCCAGGGCCAGGAGUGUCAGGGGCAGGCACUUGAGCCAGAGGCACCCUGAGGUUUCCCAGCAGGCAACUGAUACCCUGGCCUGCAGCGUGGAGGAACCGGGGCUGGACUGGAGGCCUGGGGACGCCUGGGGCUGCCCCGAUUCCCAGCAGACGCCUCACCCUCUGGGAAGCCCCAGCUGCCCCAGAUCCCUCCCACAAUGCUCUGACCACCCCCAACCCCCAAGUCCUCUCCUUUCUGUCCCCAAGCCCGAGGCCUUGGAGCUGCCCCCGCCCGGGGCCAUGAGAGCUGGACACAGAGCCCUCCAAGUUCCACGGGCCUCCUGCACCGCCGCCUGCUCCGCCCUCCUGCCCUCCCCCGCGGCCUCCCCUGUGAGGGCUGCCCACCUAGGUGACCCCAGAGCCGCCUCCUCACGCCUCUGUCUGCUCUGCACAUGGUCCACUAGCCUGACAGCUGCCCAAAGCCUCCAGAGCACAGAACGGGCCUGGUGUCUGCGCCUCCCUCUCGGGGUGGGCCACGGCCGGUUCUGUGUCCCGUCCCCUCCCCGCUCACCAGCGGUGGACCCCAGCUUCCCUCUGCAGCAGCACUCAACUCAUGCACUUUCUCAGAGACGUGCAGCCCACCUCGCUCCCGCAGGUUCCUCUUCAUCCCUCAGAGCCCCCCAUGGCCUGGGCAGUCCAUCCUGAGUGUCCGCACCACACGACUGUAGACGUUUGGCUUCUGGACUCAAAUCCUUCACCAGAUCGUGACCAGGAUGGCAAUGACCAGGCCUUGGCCUCAGCCCCCUGCCUGGCCUGCACUGGCACAGCAUUGGGUCUGGGGAGUCCCCGCGACAGGAGGCGUGGGGCUCGGGGGGCUCACCUGCCUCCCUCUCCCUGCUGGGCCUGGCGGUGCUGGUGCCGGGAGAGCCCACGCUGAAUGGAUGAA